GUAUAUCCUUUUAUUUAUUGUAUGUACUUUACUGACUCACAGGUGCUGUUAUUGGUGUAAGAGCAAUGCUGUGUAUGUCAUUAAUGUCAGGAUUGAUUGGCUGGGCUGUUGGUAUGGUAGCAUUGAUAGUUCAUAGACCUUGUUUCUUAUUCACAGUUGCACUGGCCUUUGGAAUACAAGCUUUCCUGUGGUUCAUUGGUCUAUUGGUGUACACAAAAGAAUUGAAGUCCAACAAAGGAGCCAGUCAAGGAUGGUCAUACUCUAUAGAAUGGCUUGGGUUCUUCCUUGUUGUCUUUAGUGUCAUUUAUUACGUUUUUGCUGGCUGAAGAAACCUCAAAGUAGUGUCAUCCAACAAAUAUACGCUCCAUUGACACAGUGGGAUGAUGUGUCCAGCAGUGACUCUGAAGAUGAUAGACUUUAGAGAGAGAGAGCACCCAAUGCACACUGUACUGUAACUCACAUUGUUCAGACUCAACUGUCAUAAUAUUUCCCUUUUUAUACUACCUCAAUUCUCUUUUUUGUGUGAAAUGAAUUCCUCUUACAUUAACAUUAACUUUUAUUACUAGAAA